GCGGAUGGCUGGGUGAUCGCGGGUGGCAACAUCCGAGGAAAGUCCGGACUCCAUGAAGAAACGGUGCCGGGUAACGCCCGGCUGGGGAAACCCAAGGGAAAGCGCCACAGAAAACAGACUGCCUGUAUGCAGGUCGGGCAACCGAUACCGCACGCAGGUUAAGGUGAAACGGUGGGGUAAGAGCCCACCGCGGGUCUGGCAACAGAACCGGCACGGCAAGCCCCACCGGGAGCAAUGCCAAAUAGGGACCUUGCCGGGGUACGCCCCGAGGCAUCUUCAGCCCAGAGGUCCGGGUUGGCAGCUAAAGCCCGUCGGUAACGGCGGGCGUAGAGGAAUGAUCAUCCAGGGGUGGCAACACCCCGGACAGAAUCCGGCUUACAGGCCGUCCGCGCAC
rfam:Confluentimicrobium lipolyticum strain CECT 8621 genome assembly, contig: 0001